rnacentral:tRNA from 1 species
UGGGGUUGUGGCUCAGUGGUAGAGUGCUUGCCUAGCACUCAUGAGGCACUGGGUUUGAUCUCCAGCACCACAA